CUUGACGACCAUAGAGCAUUGGAACCACCUGAUCCCAUCCCGAACUCAGCAGUGAAACGAUGCAUCGCCGAUGGUAGUGUGGGGU
rnacentral:rRNA from 4 species